rnacentral:rRNA from 1 species
UACAAUGGCCGGUACAGAGGGUAGCCAACCCGCGAGGGGGAGCCAAUCCCACAAAGCCGGUCGUAGUCCGGAUCGCAGUCUGCAACUCGACUGCGUGAAGUCGGAAUCGCUAGUAAUCGCGGAUCAGCAUGUCGCGGUGAAUACGUUCCCGGGUCUU